rnacentral:lncRNA from 1 species
AUGAAACUAUUUGGUUACAACGAAACAACAAGAUUUUUAAAGGGUGCCGGGCCAAUGCGAUGACGACUGUGGAAGACAUAAAAGACAACAGCUUUUGGUGGAUGGUGAAAAGGGCUAAGUUAUCAGGGGUGAAUGAAGACAGCUGGAAUAAUUUUGAAGAGUUGGACUUUGGUUAACUCCUCUGUGUCUUGUCUUUGUUUUGUUCUCUGGUGUAAUUGCCUCUUAGCUUCUUGCUAAAGGCUUUUGUUUGGUGGAAUGAUAUCUUCUCUUUGGCUGGCCAAAAAAAAAAAAAUAA